CUAAAUUACAGAUUCUUCCAAUAUACUAAUCGAUAAUCAGACAUGUGAUUUUUAUAAUAUAGCAUUUGCAAAUCGAAAAAAUGACGCGUUUGAAAUAUAUUCGUGAAAAUAAAAUUGGCAUUUAGACAUGUCUAUCGUGAGGAUUAUUACGUUAUACUUUUUCUAGAAUUUUUAGCUUUUAUUUUUGCGGUUUGUAUUCUUUGUUUGGGUUUUAAUCAUGAUUGAUUAUAGUUCGAUUUUCGUUUACAUCGUAUAUAUACGGGUAUACAAUAUGUACAUAUAAUACGUACAUUUAUGUAUCCAUAUAUUUAUAAAUAUACUUGCACACUUGUAUUUAUAUCCGGAUUGUUAUUGCCAAGUGAAUGAUAUAAACGUGUAGAAGGUGACUGAAUGCCUGACUUACAAUUGAAAGAAAAUUUGGAAGCCAAUAAAGAGGACAUUCUAUUAUAAUACAUAAUAUUCUACGAAUCGACGAAACUUUAUACACAGUACAGUGAAGAUUGAGUUUUGUUUUUCAUUGCUCUUCGUAUGUAGCUGAAAAUAAGUUAAAUGAAAGUUUUUUGUUGCCGCAUGAUAAACAAAGUUAGGGAAGGUGACUUUCCUCACUAUUCAAUGAUAUGAUCCCUGCGACAACACUCGACUGUUCUGCUACAAAUGUAGAUCUUAUUGUGCAGUUGUCCAUGCAGCCAUGAAUAGGUUGAUUCUUAUUUCAAUAAGGUAAAAAAAGAAUCGUGAAGUUGACUGUUUUUAAGUUUAUUUAAAUUUGUUUGCGUUUUGUAAUUUCAAUUAACUUCUAUGAGCAUGUGUAUUUGAAUAGAUUGCGCGCAAAGUUUUAGAGUCAAUUUUUGUCGUAUAAAGUUUUAUGUAAGGCUGUUCACUACCUUUUGUUCAAAGCGUAUGUGUCUUCAGCGAUAGAUAUGUGGACAAAAUAUGAACUACGAAACAAGCGGGAAAUGCUGUAACCAUCAUACGUCUCUCGUAUCGAUGUAUAAGCUUGUGUUGAUUAUUUCCCUCUCACGCGACAUAUCAAUUGGUUUCGUGUAGGUAGAGUCAAUAGUUUAGUAGACAGUGAACGAACUUUUCAGUCUCUCAUAUGUAUAUCUUUUUUUUAUGGUAGUAUGCGUGUCUUACAGUGAUUCGUGUUAGAUAGGACGUCUGUACAUAUUUGUUUUACGAUAAAAGCAUAGAAAUAAUAAAUAAAAUUGAUGCAUAUAAAAAUUAGUAUAUAAAUCUAUUUAUAUUAGUAUAUAAAUAGUGAAUAAGAAACAAUGAAGAAACAAAUGCAUAAAGAUCAUAAGGUAAUAAGAUAAAGAAAAAUCUUAACGGACAAAAACAAAAGAAACGUUCCUUUUUUUCAUAUGCUGUUUGUAUUAGUCAUGUAAAAUUAUACAUUUUUUCUUUUUUUGUUAUCAUAA